CUUUAGACUAGCGUUUAGUAGCUGUGAGUCCGCUAAGAUCUGUCUCCUUCUUAUUGUAAGGAUUAAUGUUAAAUGUUUUUCUUCUUUGUAUUGAUAUGAUGGGUUAAGUCUUUUAUAGUCGACUAAACGGUAUGGGUUUUCUCAUUGUUAAAGGCUGUCAAGUUGCCUAGGAUUGCUAACAUCCACUGUAUUAAAACUUUGGUGGAUAUUUG
rnacentral:lncRNA from 1 species